rnacentral:rRNA from 1 species
UACGUAGGGGGCGAGCGUUGUCCGGAAUUACUGGGCGUAAAGAGAGCGUAGGCGGCACUACAAGUCUCAUGUGAAAUACCCGGGCUUAACUUGGGGGUUGCAUGGGAAACUGUAGAGCUUGAGUACAGGAGAGGCAAGCGGAAUUCCUAGUGUAGCGGUGAAAUGCAUAGAUAUUAGGAGGAACACCAGUGGCGGAGGCGGCUUGCUGGACUGAAACUGACGCUGAGGCUCGAAAGCGUGGGGAGCAAACAGG